rnacentral:ribozyme from 15 species
AAAAAUAGUAUCAAAUACAUCUGAGCCACGUUUCUUCUUUUUAUUUUUCUUGUUCUUCUUCUUUUCAUCUUUGGGCUUCUUUUUCUUAAA